UACGUAGGGGGCUAGCGUUGUCCGGAAUCAUUGGGCGUAAAGCGCGUGUAGGCGGCUCGGUAAGUCCGCUCUGAAAGCCCGGGGCUCAACCCCGGGAGGCGGGCGGAUACUGUCGGGCUAGAGUCCGGAAGAGGCGAGUGGAAUUCCUGGUGUAGCGGUGAGAUGCGCAGAUAUCAGGAGGAACACCAAUGGCGAAGGCAGCUCGCUGGGACGGUACUGACGCUGAGACGCGAAAGCGUGGGGAGCAAACAGG
rnacentral:rRNA from 1 species